AGAAUCAACGCUGGCGGCGUGCCUAACACAUGCAAGUCGAACGAGAAAGUGGAGCAAUCCAUGAGUAAAGUGGCGACCGGGUGAGUAACACGUGACUAACCUACCUUCGAGUGGGGGAUAACAUCGGGAAACCGAUGCUAAUACCGCAUAACAUCGCAAGAUCAAAGCAGCAAUGCGCUUGAAGAGGGGUCGCGGCUGAUUAGCUAGUUGGCGGGUAAUGGCCCACCAAGGCGAAGAUCGGUA
rnacentral:rRNA from 1 species